AAGUCGAACGCCCCGCAAGGGGAGUGGCAGACGGGUGAGUAACGCGUGGGAAUCUACCUAGUUCUACGGAACAACAGUUGGAAACGACUGCUAAUACCGUAUACGCCCUACGGGGGAAAGAUUUAUCGGAAUUAGAUGAGCCCGCGUAAGAUUAGCUAGUUGGUGGGGUAAUGGCCUACCAAGGCGACGAUCUUUAGCUGGUCUGAGAGGAUGAUCAGCCACACUGGGACUGAGACACGGCCCAGACUCCUACGGGAGGCAGCAGUGGGGAAUAUUGGACAAUGGGCGCAAGCCUGAUCCAGCCAUGCCGCGUGAGUGAUGAAGGCCUUAGGGUUGUAAAGCUCUUUCAGUAGGGAAGAUAAUGACGGUACCUAC
rnacentral:rRNA from 1 species